UACAGAGGCCUCGAGCGUUAGGCGGAAUCACUGGGCUUAAAGCGUGUGUAGGCGGACUUCUAAGUACCUUGUGAAAUCCCACGGCUCACCCGUGGAACUGCUUGGUAUACUGGUUGUCUUGAGCCUUCUAGGGGCGAGCGGAACAAAUGGUGGAGCGGUGAAAUGCGUAGAUAUCAUUUGGAACGCCAAUGGUGAAAACAGCUCGCUGGGGAAGUGCUGACGCUGAGACACGAAAGCCAGGGGAGCGAACGGG
rnacentral:ncRNA from 2 species